CCUACGGGUGGCAGCAGUGAGGAAUAUUGGUCAAUGGACGAGAGUCUGAACCAGCCAAGUAGCGUGAAGGAUGACUGCCCUAUGGGUUGUAAACUUCUUUUAUAUGGGAAUAAAACGUUCCACGUGUGGGAUUUUGUAUGUACCAUAUGAAUAGGGAUCGGCUAACUCCGUGCCAGCAGCCGCGGUAAUACGGAGGAUCCGAGCGUUAUCCGGAUUUAUUGGGUUUAAAGGGAGCGUAGGUGGAUUGUUAAGUCAGUUGUGAAAGUUUGCGGCUCAACCGUAAAAUUGCAGUUGAAACUGGCAGUCUUGAGUACAGUAGAGGUGGGCGGAAUUCGUGGUGUAGCGGUGAAAUGCUUAGAUAUCACGAAGAACUCCGAUUGCGAAGGCAGUUCACUGGACUGCAACUGACACUGAGGCUCGAAAGUGUGGGUAUCAAACAGGAUUAGAUACCCCUGUAGUC
rnacentral:rRNA from 1 species